rnacentral:rRNA from 1 species
ACCACCACCCACGCCACACAUAGAUCUCUCUCUCUCUCUGUCCCUUGCUUUGCCUCUAGUCGUCGCCCAGUCGCUGCCGCACUGCUCCGGCUCCAGCUCGAGCCCCGGCUCCUUCCCCAACCCUCGUGCCGCGACCCCCCGCAGCAGAUUUUUUGUGUGCCGGUUGCUAGUUGAUAAGAUCUGACUCACGGCGCCGGCAAGGUUGUGGCGCCACGGGGAUGCAAAGGCAGGGGCGGCACAUGGAGCGGUCCGGCUCCAAGCGGGCGCUAGACCCUGGCGGCAGUGGCGGCGGCGGCGACGACGAACGUGAUCCUAAACGGCCGCGCGUCCCGGCCCUCGCCAGUGUCAUUGUAGAAGCUCUCAAGUUGGACAGUUUGCAGAAGCUUUGUUCAUCCCUGGAGCCGAUUCUCCGAAGAGUUGUCAGCGAAGAAGUAGAGCGUGCUCUAGCCAAACUGGGACCUGCAGCAGCACCUGCUAGAAUUGAAGGAAGGACCUCUCCCAAAAGAAUUGAAGGCCCUAAUGGUAGUAAUCUCCAGCUUCAAUUUCGGAGUAGGUUAGCACUCCCACUCUUUACCGGAGGAAAAGUGGAAGGCGAGCAGGGAGCAGCAAUACAUGUUGUGCUGUUGGAUGCAAACACUGGACAUGUUGUUACUUCAGGACCCGAGUCAUUUGCAAAACUGGAUGUUCUUGUGCUCGAGGGUGAUUUUAAUAAAGAGAAGGACGAGGAUUGGACUGAAGAGGAAUUUGAGAGCCACAUUGUGAAAGAACGUGAAGGGAAGAGACCUCUUUUAAACGGUGAUAUCCAUGUGACACUUAAAGAAGGCGUAGGGACCAUAGGGGAGCUUAUCUUCACUGACAAUUCCAGUUGGAUAAGGAGCAGAAAAUUCAGACUUGGGAUGAGGGUCUCUUCAGGAUUUUGUGAAGGAAUUCGUAUCAAAGAGGCGAAGACAGAAGCUUUUACUGUGAAAGAUCACAGAGGAGAAUUGUACAAGAAACAUUACCCUCCUGCGCUUAAGGAUGAUGUUUGGAGAUUGGAAAAGAUUGGAAAGGACGGUGCAUUCCACGGGAAACUAAACUCAAACGGAAUAUAUACAGUUGAACAUUUUCUUCAACUUCUUGUUAAAGAUCAGCAGAAGUUAAGAAGUAUCCUUGGCACUGGCAUGUCAAAUAAGAUGUGGGAAAGUCUUGUUGAACAUGCGAAAACUUGCGUUCUGAGUGGCAAGCAUUAUAUAUAUUACUCGAAGGAUACAGCAAGUGUUGGUGCAAUAUUCAAUAACAUAUAUGAGUUCACUGGUUUGAUUGCUGAUGAUCAGUUUAUUUCAACGGAAAAUCUUACUGAAAACCAGAGGGUGUUUGCGGAUACAUUGGUGAAGCAAGCAUACGAUGAUUGGAUCAACGUUGUAGAAUAUGAUGGCAAGGGAUUGUUGAAAUUUAAGCAGAAAAAGAAAUCUGUCACAACAAGAAGUGAUGCUGCAAAUGUCUCUACAAGCUACACUUAUGAUUCAGCGCACUCUCAGAAACAAUUGGCACGAGGACAUCCCAAUAUUGAGCGAUCUCUCAUGAGCAGUACCAGUAAGGAAGAGACAAGAAUUGCAUCCAACGGGAACCAGGUAGCGAUAUAUGCAGCCAAUCCUCAGGACAUCUCACCAAGUAUUACCAUGCAAUAUGGCAUGAGUUCAUUGAUCCCUGAAGGCCAGUUCAAUGGCUCUUCCAUCCAAACUCAAGCAUCAAGAAGCUCCAACAUGCUAGCAUUUGGCCCUCCACCACAGCAGCAGCAGAACUUCGAAUUCUCAACACUUGGUCUGUCCAUGCAAUCCCCAGCUCUUAAUCCUUUUGAUGACUGGCCUGGACGGUCACAGGAGAACCGUGGUGGUGUUGAUGACUUCCUGAUGGAGGAGAUAAGAGUGAGAAGCCAUGACAUACUGGAGAAUGAAGAAGAGAUGCAACAUAUGCUGCGCAUUCUUAGCGGCGGGGCAGCAGCAAACAUGAAUACGUACAUCCCUUCUCCUAUACCGACCUACAACUUCGAGGAUGAUCGUGCUCCCUCAUCUGGCAAGGCUGUUGUUGGGUGGCUUAAGAUUAAGGCUGCCAUGCGGUGGGGCAUCUUCGUCAGGAAGAAAGCCGCCGAGAGAAGAGCUCAGCUUGUUGAGCUGGAUGAUUAGGGGAUACGGUUGUUGGUAAGACACUUGUUUUUCUCGUCUUCAACGAAGCUCAGCUUGUUGAGCUGGAUGACUAGGGCAUCUUCGUCAGGAAGAAAGCUUCGUUGACGCUUAUGUGUAACAGCGAGCAGGAUCUCAAGCUCCCAAAAGUAUGAAUGGACUCGCGUUGGUUGUAUAGGUAGCUGUUUGAUGGUCAUUAUCUAAGUUUUAUUAGUGUUCAGAAAAAAGAAACUGUUACAACUGUGCAAACUUAUUUGUUGGAGAUUGGACAAUUGAAACAGACUUUGUUUGUGGGAACUAGCAGGUCUCUGUUUUUGCAUCAAAUGGGCAAAUGACAAACUAUAUCCGAACAACACGGUCAGGACGUUCGCGGGCGAUUUUUAUGGACGGCUUUGGAGAUGUCCGUAGUUGACAUUAGUCCAUGGCAUCCUCUAGUGCUUUGUUGCCAUCUUGAAUAAAUUU